rnacentral:rRNA from 1 species
GACGAACGCUGGCGGCGUGCUUAACACAUGCAAGUCGAACGGAAAGGCCCUGCUUUUGUGGGGUGCUCGAGUGGCGAACGGGUGAGUAACACGUGAGUAACCUGCCCUUGACUUUGGGAUAACUUCAGGAAACUGGGGCUAAUAUCGGAUAGGAGCUCCUGCUGCAUGGUGGGGGUUGGAAAGUUUCGGCGGUUGGGGCUGGACUCGCGGCUUAUCAGCUUGUUGGUGGGGUAGUGGCUUACCCAGGCUUUGACGGGUAGCCGGCCUGAGAGGGUGACCGGCCACAUUGGGACUGAGGUACGGCCCAGACUCCUACGGGAGGCAGCAGUGGGGAAUAUUGCACAAUGGGCGGAAGCCGGAUGCAGCAACGCCGCGUGCGGGAUGACGGCCUUCGGGUUGUAAACCGCUUUCGCCUGUGACGAAGCGUGAGUGACGGUAAUGGGUAAAGAAGCACCGGCUAACUACGUG